rnacentral:piRNA from 1 species
UGAUAUGGGUCUUGUUUUUG